GUGCAGCAGGUCGCGCAACCUCUGCAAUACGCGAAAGCGUGACAGGGCUACCCCGAGUGCCGUCCGCUGAGGAUGGCUUUUCUCCGGUGUAGUAAGCCGGAGGAAUAAGGAGAGGGCAAGUCUGGUGUCAGCCGCCGCGGUAAUACCAGCUCUCCGAGUGGUAGGGACGAUUAUUGGGCCUAAAGCGUCCGUAGCCGGCCAAGCAAGUUUUCCGUUAAAUCCAGCGAUCCAAUCGUUGGACUGCGGGAGAUACUGUUUGGCUAGGGGGCGAGAGAGGCCAACGGUAUUCCCGGGGUAGGGGUGAAAUCCCAUAAUCCCGGGAGGACCACCAGUGGCGAAGGCUGUUGGCUAGAACGCGCUCGACGGUGAGGGACGAAAGCUGGGGGAGCGAACCGGAUUAGAUACCCCCGUAGUCC
rnacentral:rRNA from 1 species